UUUCAGUAGAGUCCCGACAUCAAUAUUAACUAGAGAUGCGUAGUUCCUACGGACGAAUUUAGGCAAUUUGGUUCAAUAAUUAUUGUGACAACAGACGCCAUUUUAACACGCUGUACGAGCAGUCCUCAACCACCCGGAGAAAAUAGGGUAGCACGGUCAAUCGUGUUGAAAAAAAUAAUAGGGUGGGCAGAAAAAAAUAGGGUCGGUCGGGAAACUGGAACCACAGGUAUUUUAUUUUUAGGCCUUGGUCGGGCGGGCGGG